AAAAACAAAGAAAAAUAAAUACUAACUUCUAAUCAACUAACAACUAACAUUUAAUUUCAAGUUAUUUACUUUUAAUGCACUUUAAUUUUUAAGCUUUAUUCAUUUGCCAUUAUUCAUAUCAUUCAAGUUGUUUACUUUAAUGUCAUUUCCCUUUGUCCACUUGGACCAUAUUUUGUGAUAUAUUGUGUUUGUAUAUACUUG
rnacentral:lncRNA from 1 species